GGGGCGGGAGGACAUCUCCCCGCCGCCCGCCUCUUAAUGUUAUCGGGGCAUGAUUUAAGGGCCCGGGGCGAGAUUUAAGGGGGUGGGAGGGGGCUUCAAGGCAGCAGCAGGGGGCCAGGGCUUCAAGGGGGCAGCCAUUUUUUAAAAUAGGAACAGCCAUCGGAGGAGCAAUUUCUUCAAUAAUUACGGCGGCAGUGUGUGGAAAGCGCGGGAGGGGAAAAGCGAGAUAUAAAUGUAAAAAUGAAGAAGAAGAAGAAGAAGAAGAAGAAGAAGAAGAAGAAGAAGAAGAAGAAGAAGAAGAAGCACUUCAAAUGGUCAAUAACGCAAAACUAUUCAACACCAAUGAAACAAAGCAGGCCUACAAGAAAGAACAAGUCAAGAACCGAGCAGAAAAAUGGAAAAAUAAGCCCCUGCAUGGUCAAUAUUUGCACAAUAUAAGUGGAAAAAUCAGACAUCACCAAGACCUGGCAAUGGCUUAAGAAUGGCAACUUGAAGAAAGAAACAGAGGGUUUAAUACUGGCUGCACAAGAACAGGCACUAAGAACAAAUGCAAUAAGAGCAAAAGUCGAAAAGUCAACAACAAACAGCAAGUGCCGCCUUUGUAAAGAAGCAGAUGAAACCGUGGACCACCUAAUCAGCUGUUGUAAAGAGAUCGCACAGACUGACUACAAACAAAGGCAUGACAAGGUAGCAGGGAUGAUACACUGGAACAUCUGCAGAAAAUAUAAGCUACCUGUAGCCCAAAAUGUGUGGGACCAUAAAAUUGAAAAAGUGGUAGAAAAUGAAGAUGCAAAAAUAUUAUGAGACUUCUGAAUACAAACAGACAAACAUCUGCCACACAAUACACCAGAUAUAACUGUAGUCAAGAAGAAAGAAAAACAAGUUAAAAUAAUCGACAUAGCAAUACCAGGGGAUAGCAGAAUAGAAGAAAAAGACAUAGAAAAAAUCACCAAAUACAAAGAUCUACAAACUGAAAUUGAAAGGCUGUGGCAGAAAAAGACCAAAAUAAUCCCAGUGGUGAUUGGCGCCCUGGGUGCAGUUCCAAAAGACCUUGAAGAGCACCUCAAUACCAUAGGGGCCACAGAAAAAAUCAGCUUUACUGGGAACAGCCUAUAUUCUGCGACGAUAUCUAUAACAACAGCAACAACAUUGACAAUAAAAUUCUGGCAUCCCAGGUCCUUGGGAAGGACUCGAUGUCUGGAUAAAACAAACCAGUCAAUAACACCUGUCUGACUGUGCAAAUAAAUAAUAAUAAAGUGUAAA